UGAGAAAUCAUUGUGGUGGUCACCCUACUUUGGCAGAGUCUCAGAGGCAGUAGAUAAGUCUGCCUUAUAAAAGAGAUCCAGAGAAAUGAGUUGGCAAGACCCCCUUGGUGCCCUGUUAUCAUGAGUUCUGAUUGAGAAACACAGCAGGAUGAAUAAUAAAAGAUCCAGGAUAAAGUUGUGCUAGGAAACAAGAAACAGCAAAGACCCAGAGAUAUGAGCAGCCCACCAACUGCCAGGUCACGGAAGGCAAGAAUGUGAUGCUGCCCUCUGGAGCCUCCAAAGAGGGAGACAGGCACCACUCGGCAGUCAAGCUGAAGACACGGAGCAGCGUGCUUGCCAUCCACACAGCUGGAAAUCAUGGGGCAUGCAGGAAAGCAACUCUGCCAGAGUCACAGUGAAGGCUAUCCCAAAUCCUCGUGCUCAUCCAAGAAGACCAGCUGUGUUCAGGAAGAAGUAAUGGCCUAGUCCUUUUCUUCCUGGUUGCCAUCCUG
rnacentral:lncRNA from 1 species